rnacentral:rRNA from 1 species
UACGAGUGGUCCAAGCGUUAUCCGGAAUUAUUGGGCGUAAAGCGCACGUAGGCGGCUUUGCAAGUUAGAGGUGAAAGCCCGGGGCUCAACUCCGGAAUUGCCUUUAAAACUGCAUCGCUAGAAUUGUGGAGAGGUAAGUGGAAUUCCGAGUGUAGAGGUGAAAUUCGUAGAUAUUCGGAAGAACACCAGUGGCGAAGGCGACUUACUGGACACAUAUUGACGCUGAGGUGCGAAAGCGUGGGGAGCAAACAGG